UACGUAGGGUGCGAGCGUUAAUCGGAAUUACUGGGCGUAAAGCGUGCGCAGGCGGUUUUGUAAGUUUUGAUGUGAAAUCCCCGGGCUCAACCUGGGAAUUGCAUUGGAGACUGCAAGGCUAGAAUCUGGCAGAGGGGGGUAGAAUUCCACGUGUAGCAGUGAAAUGCGUAGAGAUGUGGAGGAACACCGAUGGCGAAGGCAGCCCCCUGGGUCAAGAUUGACGCUCAUGCACGAAAGCGUGGG
rnacentral:rRNA from 1 species